rnacentral:rRNA from 2 species
UACGAAGGUCCCAAGCGUUAUCCGGAUUUAUUGGGUUUAAAGGGUGCGUAGGCGGAUUAUUAAGUCAGUGGUGAAAGCUCCAUGCCUAACAUGGAAAUUGCCAUUGAUACUGAUGAUCUUGAGUACAUUUGAAGUGGGCGGAAUGUGUCAUGUAGCGGUGAAAUGCUUAGAUAUGACACAGAACACCGAUUGCGUAGGCAGCUCGCUAAACUGUAACUGACGCUGAGGCACGAAAGCGUGGGGAGCAAACAGG